AACGACCGUCGACAACGUCUGGAAGAGGACGACGAGGACGCUGACGGAGGGGGCGGGAUGGUGUACGGAUCGGCGCCGAUCCAGAACGCAAGGGGGACGGUCCCCGUACCGUCUAGCCUAAAACUGAUAUGGUACAGGUGCAGGCAGUGAACCGGUACAUUCAGUACGGUAUUCGAUAUCGACUUCUCAUUAAUUUCAAUGUUGGUUUACUCCGUACCACUUUCGGGACGGUACCUGUCGCAUCCCUAAUAUAUGCGAAAGAAAAAUAAAUAAUAAAUUAGAAAAAUCAGCUUUAUUAUUCUAAUUGGAUAGUCAAUAGUCCUUGUUCUGCGCCUGCGCAACUGAGAGAACAAAACCAUCUCACAAAAGAAAUCCCGGAGAUCACGCUGGUGAACCUCAAAUAGUCGUUUUCAUCGUUCAGCUAUAAAACCGAAGCUUAGUCCUCCUAAACACCAUCUCCCCUCCUUCACUCCAUCAGAUUUUCUGGUUUGAGUCUUACAUGGUAACCGAGGGAUCCUAUUAACCUUAUUUGAUGUUAACGAUUGUAUCUAUGCUUAUUUGAGUCUUAAGGGUUGUAAGUCUUACAUGGUAACCGAGGAAUAUUACAUUGGUAGCAUGCACGACGUUUUUCUAAGCUUUAAUUAAAUUCGGAAAUACAAGUGGUAAUCAACAAUCAAGUUAGCCAAUCCAUACCACAUCAAAAGAGAAUACGUGUUACAGCUAAAAGACGUAUGUAAACAUAAAUUUAACUAUUUAAGACAAUAUAUAUUUGGUCUAGAUUUCGAGCCCGGGGUCUCACUGGAAGCAGCCUCUCUAUUCCUACGAGAUAGAGGCGAUCAACAAUUUAGGGAUGUUAUUGGUGCCAAUGCCCUUCCAAAUAUCAGAAGAGAAUUUCUAGUGCAACUCAAAGAUGUACGGAGCUUGCUCGUGGGUGAAUGGCUACCGAUUUUGAGCAUGGGUUCAGGGGCCACCAUUGUUAUUGUCUCUACGCCUAAUACUAGGCCUCACAAGCAAGCGUGCCUUGAGCUUUGGGGUACACCUGAGGCAGUUGAUAACGCAAACCGUGCAAUUUCGAAUAAAAUAAGUUGGGGAUAUCCGGAAUCAGUCCAGCACCCAUAUCCAUCAUUGUUGCUUUUAGAUGUUGCAAUUCUUAAAAGAUUUGUUCCCUUACGCCAGCUUGGGGCUCUGUUUGGCAUACUUGACAUGCGGGUUAUGCAUUUGGAAUGUUGUAUUGGUGCAUGAAUUAAGGUGACCCCAUUUGACAUCUAUCACAUUAAAGGGGGGAAUAUGUCCGAUACUAUACAGUUUAUUGUGAACCACAUCGUGUGCAAGAAGUACGGGAUUUACUUGAUGGUUACUUGGCACCGCAUAUUCCUUAAACAACAAACUGAGAUUGUGGCAACAUAUGUAGUUUGUGGUGAUUUAUAUACUAUUUAACAAAUGAGCUGGCUUUAUAUUGCACUAAAAUUUAAACAAGUCAACCUAUCAUUUUGUUUAA